ACACGUAGGGGGCUGACGUUGUUUGGAAUCAUUGGGCGUAAAGGGCGCGCAGGCGGCCGUCCAAGUCCGGUGUUAAAUGGUCCGGCUCAACCCGAUAAUGCGCUGGAAACUGGGCGGCUUGAGUCCCGUAGGGGAUGCCGGAAUUCCAGGUGAAGGGGGGAAAUCUGUAGAUUACUGGAAGAACAGCGAGGGCGAAGGCAGGCAUGUGGCCGGAGACUGACUCUGAGGCGCGAAGGCGCGGGGAGCGAACAGGUUUAGAUACCCUGAUAGUCCGCGCAGUAAACGAUACGCUCCAGGUGUCGGGCGGCAGCGCCCGGUGCCGGAGCUAACGCGAUGAGUGCGCCGCCUGGGGAGUAUGCCCGCAAGGGUGAAACUCAAAUGAAUGGACGGGG
rnacentral:rRNA from 1 species